ACGGAGGGUGCGAGCGUUAAUCGGAAUUACUGGGCGUAAAGCGCAUGCAGGUGGUCUGUUAAGCAAGAUGUGAAAGCCCGGGGCUCAACCUCGGAACAGCAUUUUGAACUGGCAGACUAGAGUACUGUAGAGGGGGGUAGAAUUUCAGGUGUAGCGGUGAAAUGCGUAGAGAUCUGAAGGAAUACCGGUGGCGAAGGCGGCCCCCUGGACAGAUACUGACACUCAGAUGCGAAAGCGUGGGGAGCAAACAGG
rnacentral:rRNA from 1 species